CUCAAUCAUUCAAGAUUGAGUGUUUUUUAUACUAGACUUCAUGAUUUUUUUUAAAUUUUUUUUUAUUCAUUUAUCUCAAUACCACUUAGCCAACAGAUUUUGUGGGUUGGCUCAAAUUUUUUUAGGAUCACUCUUUUUAAAUUUAAGUUGUUUUAGAAUUGAGCUAUGUGAUGUUUUCUGAUUUCUAUUUUAUUGUAUCAUUUGCUUGACCAUGAUUGAAAAGCUUGGUUUGCCUUGAUUUUUUUUAUUUUUUUUAAUUGAUUUUCUUUUGAAUUUCAUCUUUCGAAGCUGAAUUUGUUUGAUAUUCAACUUUAGAUUUUUUUAUUUAAUUUUUAUUUAUUUAUCUUGAUCUCAUGGCUUGUAUACGCGACAUGCUACGUCAAGUUGACCUGGAUUAUUUUUUUUUCCAAUAUUUAACUAGUUAUAAUCUUAAGUUAAUUGCUUUUUUUUUUAAUUAUUUUUUGGUCACAUAUUCAUGUUAUUCUUCUUCUUUUAAGUUGAUUCAUAGAUCAACCUUUUUUACAUGACAAGUCUGUGCCUUGAGUUGUACUAUUUCAAGGCAUACUUGAGUUAACUAGACAUUUUUUUCUACUUAUAAAAAAAAAGUUUUGGCCGUUUGCAUAGCCCAGACCUUUAAAUCUAGUUAAAUACAAAAAGCCAAUAUCUACAAAAAAUUAUUAAAAUAAAAAAAUCAAUAAUAAUCAUUGAAAGGACUCAGAAAUAUGUCAUUUCUCUCUCUCGUCUCCUUUGAUAAUUUAUUCAGCAAUAAAUUUGGAAUUAAAAAAAAUUUAAUGAAAGUAAAUUCGUAACACUCUAUUUUUAUAGUUACAUAGAUGCAUAUUUUGUUGCAUGAUUAUGUUGUUUGUUCAUUGUUGUCUUAAGUUCUUACUCUAAUUUUAGCAAUUAAACUAAUUAACUUAUAUGAAGCCCAUCUAAUUACAUUAACCAACCCCCGGCCCAAUAGCAUAUCAUCCUUCAGUAAUUGGCAAAAGAGAAACAAAGAAAAGGCACAAUUUCUUCAUCUAAAAUGCCGAGAGAGACGAGUCCAGGCUUGAAGAUCCUCUGGUUAUGGACCAUCGGCACCGCCGGCAUUUUGGUUACAAAUGUGGUAAGGACCAGGCUAAAAGACAUGGAGCAGAUGAUGAACUCUGACCACCAGCAGCAGCAGCAGCAGGAAGAGCAUCAAAGCAGUCUAAGUGAUCCAGUCUUAUUGGACCAUGACGAGGGAGUCAUUGAAGAAGUGAAACCGUAGGCUUAGCAGCUAGUAAACUAGUGUCAGCUAUGUGUUUGUUUAAUGUCUCGAAAGAAUAUGGGAGCCCAGUACUUUCGUUGUCUAUUUGUUGAACUUGACUGACUAUAAUUGAGACCAAAUAAUUAGGCGUGACUCUCCAAUGUGUUUGCUGAAUGUUUUGAAAUGGAAUAUCCUCCUGCUAGCGAAUUGAAUUU